CCAACAAAGCUGUGUGGUCAGUUCACCCAUCCCUGCCCAUUCGGAUCUGUGCUCUGGUUCUCCAUCCUUCCACGUUGGCUCAAGAGGACUCGGUAGCAGCACCGGGAGAGCUUCACCGGCCAUGGAUUGACCAGAACGGAAGAAUGCUAUAUCGAUCUGGAUGGAGAGCUCUGUUUUGGUCAUUCACCACUUUCCUCCGAGCAUUCAGUACUCAUGACUGAUGCAAGUGAAGCUCAGCAUUGGCAUGUUGCUUCUUCCCUCGAGCGGAAAUAGCACUUCCAAGUCACUAUAUUAAACUUAUGGCGAACGCAGUGUUAUUGUUCAACGAAGCUUAUGUUUUUUUUUUCAUGGUCAUUGAUGUAAAGAAUAAUUUUAAUAAAUGAGCUGAUGAAUCACGGUUGUUGUUGUAAAAGAAAAAGUAAUGUAAUCCA